rnacentral:rRNA from 1 species
AGUGAACGCUGGCGGUAGGCCUAACACAUGCAAGUCGAACGGCAGCACAGUAAGAGCUUGCUCUUACGGGUGGCGAGUGGCGGACGGGUGAGGAAUACAUCGGAAUCUACUUUUUCGUGGGGGAUAACGUAGGGAAACUUACGCUAAUACCGCAUACGACCUACGGGUGAAAGCAGGGGAUCUUCGGACCUUGCGCGAUUGAAUGAGCCGAUGUCGGAUUAGCUAGUUGGCGGGGUAAAGGCCCACCAAGGCGACGAUCCGUAGCUGGUCUGAGAGGAUGAUCAGCCACACUGGAACUGAGACACGGUCCAGACUCCUACGGGAGGCAGCAGUGGGGAAUAUUGGACAAUGGGCGCAAGCCUGAUCCAGCCAUACCGCGUGGGUGAAGAAGGCCUUCGGGCUGUAAAGCCCUUUUGUUGGGAAAGAAAAGCAGCAGGUUAAUACCCCACUGUUCUGACGGUACCCAAAGAAUAAGCACCGGCUAACUUCGUG